AUUCAUUUGAGGUUAGUUUACAUCUGCGAUAGUCUUAUUUUUCUUGAAAUCUCAUUUGGGUUGCUUUAAAUGUUGAUUCUUUAUGCGUCUGAUAUAGUGAUUUCUUAUGCAUGUGUCUAUGAGGAAAGCUACUUUAAAAAUUGAGCUAUGGUGGUCUUUAUUUCUUAUUUAAUUAUUUUGAAGUUGAUUCUCAUAUUGGUUGUCCAUAACUAUCCUAAAUUGUAUUUGGGUAGAGCUUUGGAUUAUGGUCCUUUUGCCUAUGGUAGGUGUAAAGCAAUUUUUUUUUCCCUUAAGAAAAGAGAGAAGAAGUUGACAGAAUUGCCUGUUAAUGAUACUUUCUGAGUUUAAAGAACAAGUUUUGUUUAGUAAUGGUGUUUCCACAUUUCGUUAUUUGUUAUAUAUGAAAAUAACACCAAUAUGUUGUGGUUAUCACACUUUCUUAGAUACUAUAAAUCUUCUUCUAUUCUCAAAGCCCCUAACUUGGGUAAAGCAGCUAUUUUCUAGGAACUAUUUCAAGGCAAAGCAAAAGGGUUUGACAUGGAGAAGGCUUUAUUGGCAAAGUCUAUU